AUUGAACGCUGGCGGCAGGCCUAACACAUGCAAGUCGAACGAGUGGCGGACGGGUGAGUAAUGUCUGGGAAACUGCCCGAUGGAGGGGGAUAACUACUGGAAACGGUAGCUAAUACCGCAUACCAUCGGAUGUGCCCAGAUGGGAUGAGCUUGUAGGUGAGGUAACGGCUCACCUAGGCGACGAUCCCUAGCUGGUCUGAGAGGAUGACCAGUCACACUGGAACUGAGACACUGUACAGACGCCUACGGGAGGCAGCAGUGGGGAAUAUUGCACAAUGGGGGAAAGCCUGAUGCAGCCAUGCCGCGUAUAUGAAGAAGGCCUUCGGGUUGUAAAGUACUUGCAGCGGGGAGGCGUUACCCGCAGAAGAAGCACCGGCUAACUCCGUGCCAGCAGCCGCGGUAAUUC
rnacentral:rRNA from 1 species